UACGUAGGGUGCAGGCGUUAUUCGGAAUUACUGGGCGUAAAGCGUGCGCAGGCGGCUCCUUAAGUCAGAUGUGAAAGCCCCGGGCUUAACCUGGGACCUGCGUUUGAAACUGGGGAGCUAGAGUGUAGAAGAGGGGGGUGGAAUUCCAGGUGUAGCAGUGAAAUGCGUAGAGAUCUGGAGGAACACCGAUGGCGAAGGCAGCCCCCUGGGCUAACACUGACGCUCAUGCGCGAAAGCGUGGGGAGCAAACAGG
rnacentral:rRNA from 1 species